rnacentral:rRNA from 1 species
UACGUAGGGUGCGAGCGUUGUCCGGAAUUAUUGGGCGUAAAGAGCUUGUAGGCGGUUUGUCGCGUCUGCUGUGAAAUCUCAAGGCUCAACCUUGAGCUUGCAGUGGGUACGGGCAGACUAGAGUGUGGUAGGGGAGACUGGAAUUCCGGGUGUAGCGGUGGAAUGCGUAGAGAUCCGGAAGAACACCGGUGGCGAAGGCGGCCUGCUGGGCAGUAGCUGACACUGAGGCGCGACAGCGUGGGGAGCAAACAGG